UACAAAGGGGGCUAGCGUUGCUCGGAAUUACUGGGCGUAAAGCGCACGUAGGCGGCUCUUUAAGUCGGGGGUGAAAUCCUGGAGCUCAACUCCAGAACUGCCUUCGAUACUGAAGAGCUCGAGUCCGGGAGAGGUGAGUGGAACUGCGAGUGUAGAGGUGAAAUUCGUAGAUAUUCGCAAGAACACCAGUGGCGAAGGCGGCUCACUGGCCCGGUACUGACGCUGAGGUGCGAAAGCGUGGGGAGCAAACAGG
rnacentral:rRNA from 1 species